rnacentral:rRNA from 1 species
UACGUAGGGGGCAAGCGUUGUCCGGAAUCAUUGGGCGUAAAGAGCUCGUAGGCGGUGUGUCGCGUCGGCCGUGAAAACCUGCAGCUUAACUGUGGGCUUGCGGUCGAUACGGGCAUCACUGGAGUUCGGCAGGGGAGACUGGAAUUCCUGGUGUAGCGGUGAAAUGCGCAGAUAUCAGGAGGAACACCGGUGGCGAAGGCGGGUCUCUGGGCCGAUGACUGACGCUGAGGAGCGAAAGCGUGGGGAGCGAACAGG